AUACUUAUUGGUAUUAAGUAAGAGUUGAGCUGUAUAUGCAAACGUUUCCCUAUGUUAUUGCUUUCUAUUUACUGUAUUUUUUUUUUCUCCUUGAAUUGUGAUAUACUGAUGAUGUUAAGCUCGAUUGAAACUUUUUGAGACAUUGCAUGUAUACGUAAAAUCUCCGUUUCUCUUUGGUGUAUGCACUUAAAUUUAUUUGUAUCUCAUAGUAUUGUCCUUGAAGACAGAUGAAAUAAAUUUUAUUGCUAGAGACUUCAAAUAUUGUGCUUGAAGACCUAAGCAUUUUCCAUGUGUCAGGUUUUAUUAUGAUAAAUAGUGUCAUUUGCUUGAUGUUGGGAAAAUUAUGAUGGUUGCGACGUGCUUUAUCUAGGCCCCUGUUCAGUGAGGGAUUAAAAUCAAGGCUUUAAUCUAAAAGUCAGAGUCAAGUAAUUAAUUUUAACCAUACAUUUUAUGGACCUACAACUUUUGAACCAUACAUUUCUUCAACUUUUAUCAAAAUCUAGACUAAACAUCUGAUUUUUAAUCCCACCAAGGGGGGGUAGAUUUACGUAUAGAUUCGUUUGUAGCAUGGAGGGACCAGAGAUGGGGGCCCCAAAUCUUUUCUAAGCUACCAGGCAUAAUAUUUGGUCAAAUUCAGAUUCUUCAACUAUAUUUCUCAUCUGGAAGAACCUUUUUUUCAACAGUCUGCGCGAAUGGGAGAGAUAGAUUAAAGCUAACAUAACAUGUUGUGAUUGCUAAGGAUUUAGUCUAGAAUCUGCCAGUAGAUCUACCAAUGAAUUGAAUGAAGGAAAGAAGUUCAUGGAGCAGUGGCUUUCCUCUUUCAACAAUUAUUGAAGCUUCUACCAUUUUACAAUCAAACUCUAAAGUAUGAGUUGCAGAGUCGGGAUCGAUAUUCGUGUACAUUGACACGUACGUCUUUAAGUUAUCGAAAAGAUUAAUACUUCGAUAUUAAUUGAGUGGAAGACAAGUAAUCGUUUAGCAUAACAUUGCUAUAUGUAAAUUAUUAUCGUUACCAGACACCAGUGUUAGCCUUCGAUUAUGAUGACGAUUGUUCUGUGUAAAUAUAACCAUUGGGAAUAAAUCUUGCUUUCCUAUGAAGCCUGUCAAUUCUCUUGUACAAAAAGAUACAUUCCCAUGUUACCUAUAUUCCUUUUUAUCUUCUGUGGAUAAGAGAUUUCAUUUGGUGCA